UGNANGUCGAGGGGUAACAGGAGAGAGCUUGCUCUUUCGCUGACGACCGGCGCACGGGUGCGUAACACGUAUGCAACCUACCUCUUACUGGGGGAUAGCCCAGAGAAAUUUGGAUUAACACCCCAUAGUAUCAUUCUUCCGCAUGGUUGAAUGAUUAAAGGUUACGGUAAGAGAUGGGCAUGCGCCCCAUUAGCUAGUUGGUGAGGUAACGGCUCACCAAGGCUACGAUGGGUAGGGGGUCUGAGAGGACUAUCCCCCACACUGGUACUGAGACACGGACCAGACUCCUACGGGAGGCAGCAGUGAGGAAUAUUGCGCAAUGGACGAAAGUCUGACGCAGCCAUGCCGCGUGCAGGAUGACGGCGCUACGCGUUGUAAACUGCUUUUAUAUGCCAAGAAACCUUCGGACGUGUCCGAAGCUGACGGUAGCAUAUGAAUAAGCACCGGCUAACUCCGUGCCAGCAGCCGCGGUAAUACGGAGGGUGCAAGCGUUAUCCGGAUUUAUUGGGUUUAAAGGGUCCGUAGGCGGAUCAUUAAGUCAGUGGUGAAAGCCGGCAGCUCAACUGUCGAACUGCCAUUGAUACUGGUGAUCUUGAAUACUGUUGAAGUUGGCGGAAUAGGUCAUGUAGCGGUGAAAUGCUUAGAUAUGACCUAGAACACCGAUUGCGAAGGCAGCCAACUAAGCAGUUAUUGACGCUGANGGACGAAAGCGUGGGGAGCGAACAGGANUAGAUACCCUGGUAGUCCGCGCCGUAAACGAUGAUUACUCGGUAUUGGCUUCGGUCAGUGCCCAAGCGAAAGUGAUAAGUAAUCCACCUGGGGAGUACGCCCGCANGGGU
rnacentral:rRNA from 1 species